AACGAACGCUGGCGGCAGGCUUAGCACAUGCAAGUCGAGCGCCCCGCAAGGGGAGCGGCAGACGGGUGAGUAACGCGUGGGAAUCUACCCAUCCCUACGGAACAACUCCGGGAAACUGGAGCUAAUACCGUAUACGCCCUUCGGGGGAAAGAUUUAUCGGGGAUGGAUGAGCCCGCGUUGGAUUAGCUAGUUGGUGGGGUAAUGGCCUACCAAGGCGACGAUCCAUAGCUGGUCUGAGAGGAUGAUCAGCCACACUGGGACUGGGACACGGCCCAGACUCCUGCGGGAGGCAGCAGUGGGGAAUAUUGGACAAUGGGCGAAAGCCUGAUCCAGCCAUGCCGCGUGAGUGAUGAAGGCCCUAGGGUUGUAAAGCUCUUUCACCGGUGAAGAUAAUGACGGUAACCGGAGAAGAAGCCCCGGCUAACUUCGUGCCAGCCGCCGCCGUAAAAC
rnacentral:rRNA from 1 species